rnacentral:rRNA from 1 species
UACGGAGGGAGCUAGCGUUGUUCGGAAUUACUGGGCGUAAAGCGCGCGUAGGCGGCUUUGUAAGUUAGAGGUGAAAGCCCGGAGCUCAACUCCGGAACUGCCUUUAAAACUGCAUCGCUUGAAUCCAGGAGAGGUGAGUGGAAUUCCGAGUGUAGAGGUGAAAUUCGUAGAUAUUCGGAAGAACACCAGUGGCGAAGGCGGCUCACUGGACUGGUAUUGACGCUGAUGUGCGAAAGCGUGGGGAGCAAACAGG